CAGCCGUAGAGAGAGGAGGCAAGGAGGAAGAGUAAAUUACGCACAAAGCAAGCUAUGAUAAGGACUGAAGUUUGGACAACAAAGUCAAAAUGUUGUUUGGCGUUUGACAGAUCGGACUGAGACUUGCAGUUUUGAAUUAGAUAAACAACGGAGUUGAGCUCGAUCAAUUUUACAUUAUCACCUCAACCUCGGUGGAACUUUAUUCUGCUCAACUUGGCAAUGCUCUUCCUUUGUGAAAUAAGGCAGUUGCUAAGUUGCGCGCUCUGGUCAACUGUGACAGACCUGGGCUAUCCUAGACCACAGAGUUGACUGCAAAAAAAAAAAAAAGGAAAAUGACUUCAGUCAAGAAGAAUAAGUCUUCCUGCCCACUUCAGUCAAAUAUGGUCCUCACCAAGCUGCCUGUGUUAUAAGAGUGGUCUCUAUAGGAUAGGAAGUUAGCACCCACCCACCUCCUAGCAGAAUGAAAUAUUCUAGGAAAUAUUAAAAAGGCAGAAUAUUAUACCUCCCUGGAUGAGAAAAGGAGAAACAUGCUCUUGGAAAGCAGCCCCCACCUUUGCUAAUAGCCCCAGAAAGGCUGGGCCAGUUUAUCUACAACACAAAAGACCUUCACCCUCAGGACAUAAUAGGAUUAGCCCUCUACCCAUCUCACUACAUGGCACCUGAGAAGGUUACAUCACCCAGCAAGAUUCAACCAAGCCUGGGACUCAAACAACCUACAAAGUUACCCCUGCAUGGCCCCAUGGGAGUCUGACAACCAAUCAGGAUACAUUUCUUGCCACAAGAACAGGAAGCAAAUUCAAAGCUCAACAGAGGGUAUAAAUCUUUCUCCCUCUCUCACCCAUGGACUCAUUUUGCCCAGGACAACAUAUGUGAUUUGCAGAGGCCAUGAUGAAUAUCUCCUUCCUCCUCCUCCUUCUUCUCUCUCUCUCUAUCUCUGCCCCUCCCUCCCCGGAUGAGAGGGAAAAGAGGGAGAUUCUAAGGUCAACUUCUGAUAAUAUGGGAGCCUAAGAGAACAUAUGGCCUUGCAAUUAUUCCUGUUUUCAACUAUAUGUAGGGUGUGUUGAUUCAAGAAAGCAUCUUUGAUACGACUACUCUGUAUUUACCAUUGAAUCAACAAAAACAUUUCUUCAGAGCUCUCGUUUUUGAUGGAUUGAAGCAAAAACAAAAUGACUGCUGCUUCUGCCAACAUUAAAUCGCUGCACAUGUGAAAACAUUAUUCCGAUCUAAAUUUACAUGAAAACUGAAUUGUUUUGAAUAUUGUGCUUCUGGCAAUCCUGGAAGUAGUCUUAUUACUCUACUCCUUAACAUGGAGCAAGGAUGACACCUAGUGGCCAAACAGGUGUUUGAAUUUUAAAAUGUUCCGGACAUAAACUGUAUAAUUAGAAAAACUAUGAUGGAACUUCAUUGGUGUUUUAGACUAGUAUGCUUAAAACAAUCAGUGCCUGACUAAUGAAGACAUUUUUAACAUUUAUUUUAAAAAUCAAAGUAACAGCGGGAAAUAAAGCAUUUAUAUUAAUAUCCCGCCAUUUAGUUUAUCAAAAUGACAUAGUUUGAACCAAUAUAUUAAAAAAAUCUAUUUACAUGUA